AGUUUGAUUCAUGGCUCAGGAUGAACGCUGGCGGCGUGCCUAAUACAUGCAAGUCGAGCGAACGGACGAGAAGCUUGCUUCUCUGAUGUUAGCGGCGGACGGGUGAGUAACACGUGGAUAACCUACCUAUAAGACUGGGAUAACUUCGGGAAACCGGAGCUAAUACCAGAUAAUAUUUUGAACCGCAUGGUUCAAAAGUGAAAGACGGUCUUGCUGUCACUUAUAGAUGGAUCCGCGCUGCAUUAGCUAGUUGGUAAGGUAACGGCUUACCAAGGCAACGAUGCAUAGCCGACCUGAGAGGGUGAUCGGCCACACUGGAACUGAGACACGGUCCAGACUCCUACGGGAGGCAGCAGUAGGGAAUCUUCCGCAAUGGGCGAAAGCCUGACGGAGCAACGCCGCGUGAGUGAUGAAGGUCUUCGGAUCGUAAAACUCUGUUAUUAGGGAAGAACAUAUGUGUAAGUAACUGUGCACAUCUUGACGGUACCUAAUCAGAAAGCCACGGCUAACUACGUGCCAGCAGCCGCGGUAAUACGUAGGUGGCAAGCGUUAUCCGGAAUUAUUGGGCGUAAAGCGCGCGUAGGCGGUUUUUUAAGUCUGAUGUGAAAGCCCACGGCUCAACCGUGGAGGGUCAUUGGAAACUGGAAAACUUGAGUGCAGAAGAGGAAAGUGGAAUUCCAUGUGUAGCGGUGAAAUGCGCAGAGAUAUGGAGGAACACCAGUGGCGAAGGCGACUUUCUGGUCUGUAACUGACGCUGAUGUGCGAAAGCGUGGGGAUCAAACAGGAUUAGAUACCCUGGUAGUCCACGCCGUAAACGAUGAGUGCUAAGUGUUAGGGGGUUUCCGCCCCUUAGUGCUGCAGCUAACGCAUUAAGCACUCCGCCUGGGGA
rnacentral:rRNA from 1 species